GCCUGGAUUCUGACUUCCGGGGGUGGAGCCAAGAUGGAGGAGUAACUAGGGCAGCAGCUCCCUUUCACCAUGAAAAUCCUCUCCAACCAAGAGUAAAAUAUCACCACAAAACGAAUACAGGAGUGAAAGAACCAAAAGGAGGCAGAGUGAAAUAACCUUCAAAAAAAGAAAAACCCAAAAGUGUGACAAUGAGCCGGCCAGAUUGGGUGAACUACUGCAAGCCGGGAAAAUGGCAAGGAUGUGCAGAUUCUUCCCAUCUCUGACACUCUACAUUCCAGGCCCAUUCUGACCACUCCAGUCCACCCUGAGCUUGCUCUCCUUUGAGUUCCUCCAGUACAACCAAAUGAGGAAGAAAAAUGUUCUGCAGCUUCAGGUGAAAGAGACCUGAUUCUCAGAUGGGAACAUAAUGAAACCAGGCAGGAAGAGGAGGACCUUCGGUGACAAGCCUUUACCAGAGCCAUCUCAGUCACUCACAAAGAUUAUUUGGCACGCCUUUAAUAUUCCUGUCAUGUGGUUGGCAAGAGAGUGAAGUAGUUGUUUUCAGCAAAACUUCCCCAACCAAAAAAACCUCAAAACAAGAAAAAAUUUCCAACGCUAUAAAAGUUAAAGCUGUAUCAGCAA